UACGAAGGGGGCUAGCGUUGUUCGGAUUUACUGGGCGUAAAGCGCGUGUAGGCGGGCCGUUAAGAUGGGGGUGAAAGCCCGGAGCUCAACUCCGGAACUGCCUUCAUGACUGGCGGCCUGGACUCAAGGAGAGGCGAGUGGAAUUGCGAGUGUAGAGGUGAAAUUCGUAGAUAUUCGCAGGAACACCAGUGGCGAAGGCGACUCGCUGGACUUGUAGUGACGCUGAGACGCGAAAGCGUGGGGAGCAAACAGG
rnacentral:rRNA from 1 species